AUUGAACGCUGGCGGCAGGCCUAACACAUGCAAGUCGAGCGGUAGCACAGAGAGCUUGCUCUCGGGUGACGAGCGGCGGACGGGUGAGUAAUGUCUGGGAAACUGCCUGAUGGAGGGGGAUAACUACUGGAAACGGUAGCUAAUACCGCAUAACGUCGCAAGACCAAAGUGGGGGACCUUCGGGCCUCAUGCCAUCAGAUGUGCCCAGAUGGGAUUAGCUAGUAGGUGGGGUAAUGGCUCACCUAGGCGACGAUCCCUAGCUGGUCUGAGAGGAUGACCAGCCACACUGGAACUGAGACACGGUCCAGACUCCUACGGGAGGCAGCAGUGGGGAAUAUUGCACAAUGGGCGCAAGCCUGAUGCAGCCAUGCCGCGUGUGUGAAGAAGGCCUUCGGGUUGUAAAGCACUUUCAGCGGGGAGGAAGGCGGUGAGGUUAAUAACCUCAUCGAUUGACGUUACCCGCAGAAGAAGCACCGGCUAACUCCGUGCCAGCAGCCGCGGUAAUACGGAGGGUGCAAGCGGUUAUCGGAAUUACUGGGCGUAAAGCGCACGCAGGCGGUCUGGUCAGUCGGAUGUGAAAUCCCCGGGCUCAACCUGGGAACUGCAUUCGAAACUGGCAGGCUAGAGUCUUGUAGAGGGGGGUAGAAUUCCAGGUGUAGCGGUGAAAUGCGUAGAGAUCUGGAGGAAUACCGGUGGCGAAGGCGGCCCCCUGGACAAAGACUGACGCUCAGGUGCGAAAGCGUGGGGAGCAAACAGGAUUAGAUACCCUGGUAGUCCACGCCGUAAACGAUGUCGAUUUGGAGGUUGUGCCCUUGAGGCGUGGCUUCCGGAGCUAACGCGUUAAAUCGACCGCCUGGGGAGUACGGCCGCAAGGUUAAAACUCAAAUGAAUUGACGGGGGCCCGCACAAGCGGUGGAGCAUGUGGUUUAAUUCGAUGCAACGCGAAGAACCUUACCUGGUCUUGACAUCCACAGAACUUUCCAGAGAUGGAUUGGUGCCUUCGGGAACUGUGAGACAGGUGCUGCAUGGCUGUCGUCAGCUCGUGUUGUGAAAUGUUGGGUUAAGUCCCGCAACGAGCGCAACCCUUAUCCUUCGUUGCCAGCGGUCCGGCCGGGAACUCAAAGGAGACUGCCAGUGAUAAACUGGAGGAAGGUGGGGAUGACGUCAAGUCAUCAUGGCCCUUACGACCAGGGCUACACACGUGCUACAAUGGCAUAUACAAAGAGAAGCGACCUCGCGAGAGCAAGCGGACCUCAUAAAGUAUGUCGUAGUCCGGAUUGGAGUCUGCAACUCGACUCCAUGAAGUCGGAAUCGCUAGUAAUCGUAGAUCAGAAUGCUACGGUGAAUACGUUCCCGGGCCU
rnacentral:rRNA from 1 species